UUUGUAAACUUGAACUCUAAUUGGUGUUGGUUUGAGGUUUUGUUUUUAUCUUGUUUUUUAGGGUGAAAUCAGAAAUUUUUAUUAAUGGUGCCUUAAACUUUAAGAUUUGGUGAAUGAAUCAGAUUAGUACCUGAUUAAACAAAAGUUAAAAGAGCAGGAGUAAAGUUAUGUUUAAACUGAAAGAGUAUUGGCAGGUUUUUAAAUUAUCUUUGGAGGUUGAGUAGUAAUUGAGAGCCCUCAUUAACAACUUUUACUAUAGGCGCAUGUAUGAUCGUUUAUUUUAUUCUUAAGGAUUGCAAUUUUAGAUGGGUCUCUGUUAAAAUAGAUAGAUAUUUGGUGUAUGUAAAAGAUUUAAUUUGACCUACAGUAUAUUAUUUUGUGGAUACCUCUCUAGUAGGGGGUUGAAAGUGUAAAAGACAGUAAGUUUUUUUUUUAUGUAAGACUGAAGUUUAUUUAAAAACGGUACAAAUCAUCCAUCAAUUGCCUUCA
rnacentral:rRNA from 1 species